GAUGAACGCUGGCGGCGUGCCUAAUACAUGCAAGUCGAGCGAACAGACGAGGAGCUUGCUCCUCUGACGUUAGCGGCGGACGGGUGAGUAACACGUGGAUAACCUACCUAUAAGACUGGGAUAACUUCGGGAAACCGGAGCUAAUACCGGAUAAUAUAUUGAACCGCAUGGUUCAAUAGUGAAAGACGGUUUUGCUGUCACUUAUAGAUGGAUCCGCGCCGCAUUAGCUAGUUGGUAAGGUAACGGCUUACCAAGGCAACGAUGCGUAGCCGACCUGAGAGGGUGAUCGGCCACACUGGAACUGAGACACGGUCCAGACUCCUGCGGGAGGCAGCAGUAGGGAAUCUUCCGCAAUGGGCGAAAGCCUGACGGAGCAACGCCGCGUGAAUGAUGAAGGUCUUCGGAUCGUAAAACUCUGUUAUUAGGGAAGAACAAAUGUGUAAGUAACUAUGCACGCCUUGACGGUACCUAAUCAGAAAGCCACGGCUAACUACGUG
rnacentral:rRNA from 1 species